GCAUACGAUCGCACAUGAGAAGAGGCAGAAAGGGGCACAAACCCUAAUUCAAGAUAAACCUUCAAAUUGAAAGGGGAAACUGGCUCUAAUCAGAUGCAUGGACCUAGAUUCUUAAUCAUCUAGACUUUCUACACAUGAGCUUGACUCUUGACAAGCUAUAUGGGAUCUUGGAGAAGAAUGGGUUAAACGGAUCAAGUACGCAAAGAAGCUCUAAAGGACACAAAGUGGCGUGGACUUAGCAUCUUUACGAAGAAAAGAAGGUUUGAAGAUCGAGUCAAGAGCGAGGGUUGUACGGGAAGGAUCGGUCACAUAAUUUGACCAAAAAAUAUAUAUAUAUAUAUAUAUAUAUAUAUAUAUAUAUAUAUAUAUAUAUAUAGGUCUUGAAGUAUUAAUAUAACAGGACGUGGUAAAUCCUUUUUAACGAGUGUAUGAAUUUUUGUAGUUGAACCUUCCUGUAAGUAUUAUGUCUAGUAAAGAACGAAAUUUUUGGGCUCUUAUUUUCCGCUGUAUCGUAAUUUAAGUUAUUACACGUUAGUCUUACACGGAAUUGUUCUUAUUAUGAACGGGUCAUGCCCGAACUUUUUUAAAUAAUAGUAUGAUAAUAGUCCCUUUUGGAAUAUGAAAUUUGGGCGUUAUAAGUUGGUAUUAGAGACUUGGUUUGAGGGAAAUCAAGUAGAAGGAGGUGAAUACUUGAACUCAAACCUGUGUGCUCUUGUGACAAGGAACCCGUACAAUCCAAGACUCGAUCAAGGCCUAAAGUUAAAAGCGAAUGUAAGUAUGUAUUAAAUUAUGUAUUUGAAGGAAACUAAUAGUAUGUUAUGUGAAGGGUAAGCGCAAUUGCUUGGAAGGGAUGAUCUGUGAAUGUGGUCUAGGACCGGCACCAAGGCAUGUAAUAAGAUAUAUUGACCCAGGUACGUAAAUUUAGCAUAUGGGUGCAUGUAAUGGUAAAAUUUAUCAAAUGAAGGAAAAUUGUUAAUGAAAUAUAAUAAUAGGAUGGAAACGAAGUUAUGAAAAUGUUACACGUGCCGAAACCUAAUUCUUCGGGCAUAAGGUGACGAUUACACGAAGACACGAAACUAGUAUGUGGAUUGUGUACAUGGCCAGUACUCAAGAAGCAUAUGACGUUCGUGAGACCUUUAUAAUUGUUGCAGGUAUGUCUGUUAGAAUUAGGUAGUAGGUAGACA